UCUCCGUUGGUGAACCAGCGGAGGGAUCAUUACCGAGUUUACAACUCCCAAACCCCUGUGAACAUACCAUUUGUUGCCUCGGCGGUGCCUGCUUCGGCAGCCCGCCAGAGGACCCAAACCCUUGAUUUUAUACAGUAUCUUCUGAGUAAAUGAUUAAAUAAAUCAAAACUUUCAACAACGGAUCUCUUGGUUCU
rnacentral:misc_RNA from 1 species